UUUCCGUAGGUGAACCUGCGGAAGGAUCAUUCAUAAUAAGUGUUUUAUGGCACUUUUUAAAUCCAUAUCCACCUUGUGUGCAAUGUCAGUCGAUCUUCUUCAUGGAGAUCGGCCAAACAUCAACCUUAUCUUUUAACUCUUUGUCUGAAAAAUAUUAUGAAUAAACAAUUCAAAAUACAACUUUCAACAACGGAUCUCUUGGCUCUC
rnacentral:misc_RNA from 1 species